UAUUGUGAAACUCAUGAAGAAUAUGGAAGAAACAUGUCAUAAAGGUGUGCUGAGAGCUCAACUGGAAUAGAGAAAACUUGGGAAAUUCUCUGGAAUCAAGAUCAACUCUAUAUUGGGUUGAAUAUUGUCAAGACCUCAGAAUGGAGCCUCAUUUGAAAACACAGAGUUUGCAGAUGAUAAUGUGGAGGGACAAUUAAUAUUUCUGGAGAAGUUUAUUUCUGGAUGAGUAUUUUCUUCAGUGGAUGGAGAUAGAUUUAAAUAUUGCAUUCAACUCUCAGAUCGGCUGUGGCAUUUAUGCAAAAAAGGGGGCCAGGUGGCUGGAAAUAAGUAGUGUCAUGCCAAGGAGGACAAAGAAGUGAAUUGUAUUUGUUGAACAUAAAGAAAUCCCUGACUUCUCCUCUUUACUACUUCUUUACUACUCUUUGCAGAAGGAAGAGGGCUUCAUUCUCAUCAGAAAGCAGAUUCUCUGUCCUUGGAAGGCACUUCUGACCCUGCACUGGUGGAACUGUGGGACCAACACAAACCAAGGCUGACUUUACAGGCUUAACGUCUAGGAGUACAGUUAAACCCUGUCGUCAUCCAAAGAUUUCAUCUCACAAAACACCAUUUCAAAGCCAUUUUCCUGCAUCCAAAAUGAAAUGAAAUUUGUCCCUCAAAUGCAUCUCUUCUGACCAUGGAGAGAAAACACCGAUGCAUUAAUAACUUCAGAAAACUGAUAUACUCUGGAAGUUACAUUAGUGCCCAAGAAAAUAAAGAAUGUUCUCCUUUCUAAAAUGUUGUCCCUUCACCCCCAGGUGGAAGAAAAUCCACUGAGUCUUACAGACAUUAAUAGGAACAGGACAAUGAGCAACACAUGGAAAAUGUGUUUGC